rnacentral:sRNA from 1 species
GUAUUCUCCACUGGUUGAAUGCAAAUGGAAGCCAGAGGAAAAGGGAACCCUUGACACAGUUUUCAUAUAGACUGGCCUCCAGGGCAGACAGCAGGAGGGGGGUUUAAUCUGGACUGAAUUGGAGGAAAGGAACUGGCACCAGAGUGGAGGCUGGAAGGAUGGUGGAACUGACACUGGGACAGAACACAGAAAACAGAAUAUAAUGCUAUUGCUCUGGCUGUAUCAAAUAAAAGUGUCAAGAGUGAGCAUCCUUGCAUUGUGCUGAAUCACAGAGGAAUACCUUUCAAUUUUUCUCCAUUGACUAUGAUAGCAGUGGGCUUUUCACAUGUGGGCUUUACUGUGUUGAGGUUUAGGUGCAGUCAUCUUGGAUUUGAGUCGUGCUUGUGAAUUUUCAUGUGUUACAACAACCAGAUUAAAUUUCUUCAAGUGGAAAUAUUAAGUCAAAGAAAUUACCUAUUUCUAAUAAUUCUUAUUGAAGAAGUGAAACCUAGCAGGAAGAAUUGUAUUUG